CAUGUCAGCUGUCUAGGUCGUUGGGGAAUUGCCACUGGUAUGUGGUAAUGAGGUCCGCAUAGUUGUGGAUGAGACCCAGUCACUAGACAAGGCCUUUUCUGCUGACCAGUGUCAAAUGGGGUUCCCUUGGUGCCAGCCAAUAGGACAUACUUUGGGGAUGGGAAGAUCUUCAGUUUCCAGAGUUGGACCAGUGGAAGUUCUGCUACCAGAUAUAGUUCUUUCCAAGGUUGCAUGUUGACUGCAACAGACUACUAACACAGGUGUUGGAUGCCACAGCUGACACUGCUCUAAAGGUAAUAAGACACAUUUUUACAUACCAUUAAAAUUGUUUAAGCUAAAUCUCUUAAGCUACUGAGUGUUAAAAUUCUGUUUCUGAAUGAAAAUUGAGUUGUCUUUUGCAACCGGAAUUACAGAGAUAAUGUUUUUAUUGCAAUAUUUUUAUGUUUGUUUUGUAUAGAUUUUUUUCUAUUUUCAGAGGGAUCUGCAAUUGGGAGAGCUGAUAGUUUGUUUUCUGUUUUGUACAUAUUUUAAUGUUAGACAUGUUUUAAAAUCUGAAUAAAUACCUUUUUUUUUAAAUACGUUAUGAUUUAAUUGCGUGCGUAGGAGGCAUUGUGGGAACGAGGGCGGGACGCGCGGUUUUUUUUUCCAUUGCUGUGGUGGAGUUUUGGAAGGUGUUUAUUUUUGUAGGUUAUUUGUUCGGAGGCAGUGGGUUUUUGUUUGGAGAUGGUUUGCUUCUGUUCCUUUUAGGUUGCAUGUUGACUGCAACAGACUACUAACACAGGUGUUGGAUGCCACAGCUGACACUACUCUAAAGGUAAUACACAUUUUUUUAUAUACCAUUUAUCCUCUGAAAAUUUAAUAAAAACUGGUAUUAAUAAAUAUAAAACAUUGCAGUUUUAACUUUUAACAGUAUAAUUUAUGUACAUCUUAAUACUAAUAAUUCCGGUUGUAGAAGGUGUUUUUUAUUGGGUUUUUUCAAUAUUUCUCUUUCUUGCUGUUCCCCCAAAAUGUGAAACAUAGGAUAAGUAUUAGCUCACCUGUCACAUCGUCACCUCAACGCAACGGUCAUAUCUUAUUAUAAAUUUAUAAUAAGAUACAACUUUGUUGCGUUGAGGUGACGACAUAAUGACAAGAUGAGCUUUUGUGUUCACCCUUCGUCCGUCGUCCUUUGGAUAGGGAACUCUGCAAUUGCAGAGCCAUUCUUAGGUGCCCUUUUCUCUUUCAGCUAGAUAGGGAACUAAAUUGUGUAGAUAGGGAAUCUCCUAUGGAAAGGCAUUUGUAGCCUGUAACUCUGCAGCCGGAUAAUGCCUCUCAUAUUGAAAGGCAUUUGAAGCCUCAAGUAUACAGCCGGAUAAUGCCACUCCUAUGGAAAGCAUUCGAAGUUUGUAAGUGUGCAGCUGGAUUAUGUCUCUCCUAUGGAAAACCGUUCGAAGUCUGCUAAAAAAUAAUAUAACUGGUCUUUAGAAUCAAAUGGUUGGUAUCACGAACAGUAAGUAAUUGCAAGUUGUGAAAGAGGAUCAGGAGAUUACAUCGACCAGGCUAACAUUUUGAGGGACAGUGAAAAUUGUUUAAGCUAAAUCUCUUAAGCUACUGAGUGUUAAAUUCUUUUUCUGAAUGAAAAUUGAGUUGUCUUUUGCAACCGGAAUUACAGAGAUAAUGUUUUUAUUGCAAUAUUUUUAUGUUUGUGUUGUAUAGAUUUUUUUUCUAUUUUCAGAGGGAUCUGCAAUUGGGAGAGCUGAUAGUUUGUUUUCUGUUUUGUACAUAUUUUAAUGUUAUGACAUGUUUUAAAAUCUGAAUAAAUACAAUUUUUAGCUCGACUAUUCGAAGAAUAGUCUAGCUAUUCUACUCACCCUGGCGUCGGCGUCGGCGUCACACCUUGGUUAAGUUUUUGCAUGCAAGUACAUACAGCUAUCAUUUAAAGGCAUAUAGCUUUGAAAUUUAUUUAUUCUUUUUCUAGGUCAAUUACCAACCUCACUGGGUCAAGUUCCAUAACUCUAACAUGUAUUUUGAGCAAAUUAUGCCCCCUUUUGGACUUAGAAAAUUCUGGUUAAAGUUUUACAUGCAAGUUACUAUCUCCAAAACUAAUGCAGAUAUUGAAUUGAAACUUCACAUGUGUCUUCGGGGUUAUAAAACUAGUUGAUAGCACCAAGUCCCAUAACUCUGACCUUGUUUUUGGCCAAAUUAUGCCCCCUUUUGGACUUAGAAAAUUUUGGUUAAAGUUUUGCGUGCAAGUACAUACAGCUAUUACCAAAAGGCAUAUAGAUUUGAAACUUAUUUUUUCUUUUUCUAGAUCAAUUACCUUCAUCACUAGGUCAAGUCCAAUAACUCUAACAUGUAUUUUGGCCAAAUUAUGCCCCCUUUUGGACUUAGAAAAUUCUGGUUAAAGUUUUGCAUGCAAGUACAUACAGCUAUUACUAAAAGGCAUAUGGAUUUAAAACUUAUUUUUUCUUUUUCUAGAUCAAUUACUUACCUCACUGGGUCAAGUCCCAUAACUCUGACAUGUAUUUUGGGCAAAUUAUGCCCCCUUUUGGACUUAGAAAAUUCUGGUUAAAGUUUUACAUGCAAGUUACUAUCUCCAAAACUAACGUAGAUAUUGAAUUGAAACUUCACAUGUGUCUUCGGGGUUAUAAAACUAGUUCAUAGCAGCAAGUCCCAUAACUCUGACCUUCAUUUUGGCCAAAUUAUGCCCCCUUUUGGACUUAGAAAAUUUUGGUUAAAGUUUUGCGUGCAAGUACAUACAGCUAUUACCAAAAGGCAUAUAGAUUUGAAACUUAUUUUUUCUUUUUCUAGAUCAAUUACCUACAUCACUAGGUCAAGUCCAAUAACUCUGACAUGUAUUUUGGCCAAAUUAUGCCCCCUUUUGGACUUAGAAAAUUCUGGUUAAAGUUUUGCAUGCAAGUACAUACAGCUAUUACUAAAAGGCAUAUGGAUUUAAAACUUAUUUUUUCUUUUUCUAGAUCAAUUACCUACCUCACUGGGUCAAGUCCCAUAACUCUGACAUGUAUUUUGGGCAAAUUAUGCCCCCUUUUGGACUUAGAAAAUUCUGGUUAAAG